ensembl:lncRNA
UAGGGAUCCACAGAUGGGGACAUGAUUAAACAAAGGAUGAAAUGUGUAGAUGGGUUGAGGGGUAACAGGGUCGGGGUCUGGCAGAGGCGGGGUCUGACAGGGAGCCACCAAUUGUAAGAGUUUGGGAGACAAACUGCCCCCCUCCACCCAAAGGUUCUGGAUGUACUUAACAUGUUGUUAAAUCACCAGGGAGAGGAAGGAGCAAAACAAAACACAUUCUUCGAUGAACAAAAGAGAACAUAGUUGAGACACACCGCGUAACACUGGUGCUUAACUCCGCUGAGCUAGGACUUGACUUCUUUGGAGAAGACAGAAGAAAUGAGAUUCGUCUUUGAUGUCUCAUGACUACAAAAUUCAGUGUCCGAUACUGUUGGUGCAGGCUCCUGUUGUAAUUCCUGUGAGCUGCUGAUGAAAAAAAAGAAUCCAAAUUUGAUUGUGUCUUACUGCCCAAGUUAAGACUGAGAAAGGAAAAAAUUCAUUCCAGGCCAAAUAGCCUUCAGAUGAUAAGAUGGUGAAACUUCUACUGGCCUUGGUAUAUGCCUCCAGUCGUCUCGUGGCAGACGUGACUGUGGCUGCAGAUGUGGGCUUAGAGGCACCAACAGCUACCAUUUUCAUACAGGAACCACAGUGCCACAUCGCCACAACUCAGCUCUUCAUUUCAGUUUCCUCUCCAGAAGGAGCAAGUGUGCUUGGUGUGCUGGCUGAUGGUGAUUUUCUUCACCAUUCUUCCCAGGGAGGCAUCAAAACAAGUUCCAUAUUUACCGAUGACUCUGGACUUCUUAGUGUGUUUAGCUUCGUCAUUGCCAGCUAAGGCUGAGCCCAGACAGCCGGAUGCCAUUUUCUGGAUUAAGUUAGGAUUCAGUACUAUUCAGAAUCUCUGGUCUUGGUGGAAUCAAGGGCAUAAAAUAUCAAGCGUCAACUUGACCAGGGCAGUGCUGUGCUUAGUCGUUCAGUCGUGUCUGACUUUUUGCAACCCCCCCAGGCUCCUCUGUCUAUGGGGGUUCUCCGGGCAAGAAUACUGGAGUGGGUUUCCAGGCCCUCCUCCAAGGGAUCUUCCCAACCCAGGGAUUGAACCCAGUUCUCUCACAUUGCAAGCGGAUUCUUUACCAUCUGAGCCACCAGGGAAGCCCAGAAAAGGGUUAAAACUCCCCAAAACACAAAUGACAAAUCCUUUCCAGAAGCCUGCACUUGUCUCUUGAUUCCCUGUUGGCUUCUUGAGAACUGACUGCUCCAUGUCCCACACACAAUAUCUUCAGAAGCCACAAGGGACCACGAUGUGGAGCAGUCUGGCUGAAUCAGCCGGGGCCUCCUUUAUCUUUUUCCUGGCAGAGGCCUGGGCAACCCUAGGCUCACAGCACCCUCUGCUGUCAAAUUGCAGAAACGGUGCCUUGGUGUUGAGACCGAGACUGCUAGAGGGUUCUGGUCUGGGGCGAAGAAGCAAAUGACAAGAGCAGAAAUUCAAAAUUAGUUUUCAUGCAAAACUUCAGGAUGAGUUAAUCUUGGUGGUAACAAGCAGCAAAGACACAGCCAAAGAAAAUGGGACAGCGGAACUUUUCCAGCAAGAAGGCUUUUCAGUCUUUUCCAAAGUUGAAUGGAAAUCCCGGACUCACCCACACCAGGAGCCAAAAGAGGCCAAGUACACUUUUUCGAGCACCAUUUGUAAAACACAUAGAAUGUUGUCUUCGUAGAAAUCGAACCCAGAGUAACAGAAAGGAGGAGACAGACAAGCUUAGCAUUAAAUGUAGGGAAUUCGGGGCUUCUCUCUUGGACCCUGUAAGAAUAAACUCCUGGCUUUCAGCAUGAUAAUGUAUGUACCUGCUCUAACAGAGGUGAAAUUAAAGGCUACGUGGCAACACUGUAAUGGAAGGUUUUCACUUCUAUUUAUAGCUUGUUUAUUUGAUCCUUUUUCCUUGCCAAAAGUACCAGACAGCCUUAAGAUCCUUAAAUGCCCCUGUCCUGAAAUCACUUAUUUAACCAUAAGAGAGAUGCUAGUUUAUAAAAGAUAUCGGAUAUGUACGUAUACGUGCUAAGUCGCUUCAGUUGUGUCAGACUCUUUGCGACCCUAUGGACUGUAGCCCUCCAGGCUUCUCUGUCCCUGGGAUUUCCCAAGUAAGAAAUGCUGGACUGGGUUUCUGUCCCCUCCUCCAGGGGAUCUUCCCAACCCAGGGAUUGAACCUGUGUCUCUUACAUCUCCUACACUGGCGGGCAGUUUCUUUACCACAAGCCACCUGGGAAGCCCUAUAUAUAUAUAAAUAUAUACAUAAUUUGCAUGCUCUUUUAAAGUAUAUUACUAGUACUUAUAGGCAUGCAUGCUAAGUCCCUUUAUUCAUGUCUGACUCUGUGCGACUCCAUGGACAGAGGAGUCUAGUCAGCUACAGACUCCUCUGUCCAUAGGAUUCUUCAAGCAAGAAUACUGGAGUGGGUUGCCAUCUUUCCUCCAGGGGAUCUUCCCAACCCAGGGAUUGAACCUGAGUCUCUUGUAUCUCCUGCAUUGGCAGGUGAGUUCUUUACCACUAGUACUUAUAUAACUACUUACUAAUAUAUUCAGUUCAGUUCAGUCCCUCAGUCGUGUCCGACUCUUUGUGACCCCAUAAAUCGCAGCACGCCAGGCCUCCCUGUCCAUCACCAUCUCCCGGAGUUCACUCAGACUCACAUCCAUCGAGUCCGUGAUACCAUCCAGCCAUCUCAUCCUCGGUUGUCCCCUUCUCCUCCUGCCCCCAAUCCCUCCCAGCAUCAAAGUCUUUUCCAAUGAGUCAACUCUUUGCAUGAGGUGGCCAGAGUACUGGAGCGUCAGCUUUAGCAUCAUUCCUUCCAAAGAAAUUCCAGGGUUGAUCUCCUUCAGAAUGGACUGGUUGGAUCUCCUUGC